rnacentral:rRNA from 1 species
GAUGAACGCUGGCGGCGUGCCUAAUACAUGCAAGUCGAGCGAACAGACGAGGAGCUUGCUCCUCUGACGUUAGCGGCGGACGGGUGAGUAACACGUGGAUAACCUACCUAUAAGACUGGGAUAACUUCGAGAAACCGGAGCUAAUACCGGAUAAUAUAUUGAACCGCAUGGUUCAAUAGUGAAAGACGGUUUUGCUGUCACUUAUAGAUGGAUCCGCGCCGCAUUAGCUAGUUGGUAAGGUAACGGCUUACCAAGGCAACGAUGCGUAGCCGACCUGAGAGGGUGAUCGGCCACACUGGAACUGAGACACGGUCCAGACUCCUACGGGAGGCAGCAGUAGGGAAUCUUCCGCAAUGGGCGAAAGCCUGACGGAGCAACGCCGCGUGAGUGAUGAAGGUCUUCGGAUCGUAAAACUCUGUUAUUAGGGAAGAACAAAUGUGUAAGUAACUAUGCACGUCUUGACGGUACCUAAUCAGAAAGCCACGGCUAGCUACGUG